ensembl:ncRNA F40H3.14 ncRNA
UUGAUGGCUUUAUCUCCUUGUUUUUUACGAGAAAAAGAAACUCAACUUCUUGAAAAAGUGUUGUUGUUCACUUGUUUUUCUGUGAAUGAAAAAGGACAUACAACCUCAUUAUCUCUCUCCGAACAACGUCUCAAUUCAAUUAGUGUGU